rnacentral:rRNA from 1 species
GACGAACGCUGGCGGCGUGCUUAACACAUGCAAGUCGAACGGAAAGGCCUGCUUUCCCUUGUGGAUUGCGGGUACUCGAGUGGCUAACGGGUGAGUAACACGUGAGUGAUCUGCCCCCAACUUGGGUAUAAGCCUGGGAAACUGGGUCUAAUUCCCGAUAGGACUGCAGGGUGGUGCCUGUGGUGGAAAACGAUUUUCUAGUGGUUGGGGAUGAGCUCGCGGCCUAUCAGCUUGUUGGUGGGGUAAUGGCCUACCAAGGCGGCGACGGGUAGCCGGCCUGAGAGGGUGGACGGCCACAUUGGGACUGAGAUACGGCCCAGACGCCGACGGGAGGCAGCAGGGGGGAAUAUUGCACAAUGGGCGGAAGCCUGAUGCAGCGACGCCGCGGGGGGGAUGACGGCAUUCGGGUGGUAAACUCCUUUCGACCGCGAGGAAGCCACCUGGUUGGAAGGGUGGUGACGGUAGUGGUAGAAGAAGCACCGGCUAACUACGUG